rnacentral:rRNA from 1 species
GCCUAUGGCCAUACCACCCUGAAAGCUCCCGAUCUCGUCUGAUCUCGGAAGCUAAGCAGGGACGGGCUUGGUUAGUACCUGGAUGGGAGACCGCCUGGGAAUACCAGGUGUUGUAGGCU